rnacentral:rRNA from 1 species
GCAGCCGCGGUAAUUCCAGCUCCAAUAGCGUAUAUUAACGUUGUUGCAGUUAAAAAGCUCGUAGUUGAAGUGUGGGUGAUCGCUGUUGUGAGACUUCGGUCUCUCGAUAGUAAGUCACCCCCUUCCAGUAUCCAGUAGUGGGUAUUCACUUACUUACUACUGUGUGUUGGUCAUUUACUGUGAGAAAAUUAGAGUGUUCAAAGCAGGCGUUUGCUUGAAUAGAUUAGCAUGGAAUAAUAAUUGAAGGCUUUCGUGUUCGAUUUGAUUGGUUUGUUCAUGGAAGCAAGGUUAAAAGGAACAGUUGGGGGUAUUCAUAUUCACUAGUUAGAGGUGAAAUUCUCGGAUUUAUGGAAGAUGAACAAGUGCGAAAGCAA